AGGAACCCAGACAUGCUCUAUUUGCAAACCGACUGCAUGAAACGAAAAGCACGGUAAUUCUGAAGCUGUUGGCUUGGAUGAAAUGAGAAUGUAAUUAAAAAGAAAAAGAUCUUUUGCCUCAGUAUUCCUUGCCUGCAAUAUGGAAAUUGCAGACUGAAUAGACAUAGGAAAAAUAUGUCCUCUAGGAGAAUAAUUACCAGACAAACCCUAUCUACCACCAUCUCCCCAACAAGGUUUUUUCCUCCAGAUACUCUCCUUUCAUUCAUUGACCACUAUCUCAAACUUCAGAUGUCAACCAGAAAAGAAAUUAAAAAGGGAGAAUGGAUAGACAAAGGAGUAAAUGGCAGGAUCGUAAGAGUGGCACAAAUGAAAGUAUAUUUUAGCAUCAUUACCUUUCCAAAAUUGUGAAGCAUGAAUUGCAGAAAGGGUCAAGACACAGACACAUGAGAAGACUAAUGCUGUAGUUUGGAUAUGGUUGUCUCCACCAAAUCUCAUAUUGAUCCCCAAUGUUGGAGGUGGGGAUUAAUAAGAGGUGUUUGGGUCAUGGAAGCACGUCCCUUGUGAAUAGAUUAAUGCCCUUCCUAGGUUGGGGAUGAGUGAAUUUUCACUGUAUUAGUUCCUGCAAGGGCUGGUUGUUAAAAAAAGCCUGGCACCUGCCUACUCUCUCUCGCCUCCUCUCUCACUAUGUGAUCUCUGCACACCCAGCUCCCUUUUGCCUUCCACCUUAAGUAAAAGCAGUCUGAGGCUCUCACUGUAUACCCCAUCUCGAACUUUCCAGUCAGCAGAAUCAUGAGCCAAAUAAACCUUUUUUUCUUUAUAAAUUACCCAGCCUCAGGUAUUCCUUUAUAACAACACAAAAAAGAGUAAGACAACCAAUGCAAAGGAUAGCCCAAAUUGAUCCAAAGACUAGGCCUCUUAAAACCAGACAUGAUCAGAAUGGACUUAGCUACUAUCCAGAGCCAUUUCUAAAAUAUUUUAAUACAGACAAAGCCAUUAGAGAGAGAGAAAAAGGUCCCUUUUAAUCUACUAUAGUAUGCUCUAACAUAAAGGACGUUUAACCAGCCUUGCCCAGCUUUCCCAGGCAAAAGACAAUUUGAAAGUCAUCUCUAUGAAUAAAGCAUUGUACCCUGAAAGGAGAUAAAAUGUUAAACACUUAACACUAAAAA
rnacentral:lncRNA from 1 species